rnacentral:rRNA from 1 species
CCUACGGGCGGCAGCAGUGGGGAAUAUUGGACAAUGGGCGAAAGCCUGAUCCAGCCAUGCCGCGUGUGUGAAGAAGGCCUUCGGGUUGUAAAGCACUUUCAGUGGGGAAGAAAGCCUUGGGGCUAAUACCCUCGAGGAAGGACAUCACCCACAGAAGAAGCACCGGCUAACUCCGUCCAGCAGCCGCGGUAAUACGGAGGGUGCGAGCGUUAAUCGGAAUUACUGGGCGUAAAGCGCGCGUAGGCGGUCUGAUAAGCCGGUUGUGAAAGCCCCGGGCUCAACCUGGGAACGGUAGCCGGAACUGUCAGGCUAGAGUGCAGGAGAGGAAGGUAGAAUUCCCGGUGUAGCGGUGAAAUGCGUAGAGAUCGGGAGGAAUACCAGUGGCGAAGGCGGCCUUCUGGACUGACACUGACGCUGAGGUGCGAAAGCGUGGGUAGCAAACAGGAUUAGAUACCCCUGUAGUC